UAUGGUGUCUUUGAAAAGUUUCCAUGCAGCUUGCUUUUUGUCACUGUACCUUUUAAUUUCUGUUUCCUCGGUCAAGUGUUAGGAAUGAUAUCACCUAGUAAUGACUUCCUCAUUCUAGUGUUAGGAAUGAUGUUGCCUAGUAAUAAAACAGCCAUGAGCAGAUAAUGUUCAGUAGCUAUGAGUAGGCAUUGUGACAAAGAUUUGGCUAUAGGAUACUAAUAACAAAAUGAGAAAAGGGUGAAAGACAAGUGGCAGCAUCAAACCAAAUGGGCCUGUGCUAUCUAUCUCCUCCUGAACACUUAAUUUUCGUUAGAAGGCUCAUUCUCUACAGAAGUAGCUUAUGCUGAUCACUUCUAAGGGCUAUGUGCCCUACUGCCAUUGCUUUAAGAAAUGUUUAUUCUACAGUGGGGAAGUAGUCUAAGCCGUUGUUCACACACCUUGUUUAAUAAUUGCUUAUGUGAAACAUUAUUUUACAGUCCUGUAAUCGUCAGAAGUGUCUAUAUUGCCUAGCAACAGACACAAAUCUUUGCCAGGAAAAAUAACGAGAGACUUCUUGUAGCUCAUUGCUUCUGGUAAUUUAUUACAUGAUUGUUAUAAUAGAAUCAGCUGCUUAUCUUUCCACAACUGUGAAUGCAUUUGAUGAAUCCUGGAGGGCAUUCUUCCUAACUUUGCUUUCCCCUAAUGGUAGGUCUGCCUUUCCACUGGAAGAAAAACUGCAUCAGAACAUUUUAAAGUCUUAGACUACCAAUUGUUAUAUACACUGAGCUACAAAGUUGCAUCUAGAACCUUGACCUGUAUUAUGAGAAUGAGAUUUUAUAACUCCAGAAAAUUCAUGCCUGCAUACCUGAGGCCAGGUGGACAUGCCAAUUAUGCACGGUCUGGCCUGUAUUAUCUGUGGAAUCCAUGCCAGGUAAUAUCUUAGAGCAGUUCAUAAAAGGUGAGCAAGUCAUGCACCAUGUUCUAGGAAUAUGAAAUGUGGAGUGACAUGUACAUUGAAACUAAGGAUGUUAAGAACUGAUUGACUAGUUGACUAUCCGAUAAGCAAAUGCUUAUUGGCUA